rnacentral:sRNA from 20 species
GUCAGCAACCCGCACUCUCUGUGACAAGGCUACGCGCGGAGCGAAAGUUACGCGAAGUAAUGCCUCACUCCUAGCGUGAUAGUUGACCAGCCUAAGUGCCUUGUGUACUAAGUUUUUUGAGUCAUGACACCCUGUAGAUGCGUAGCUAGUCUCCGGCUCUGUC